GGAAGAUGUCAGAAAGGGUAAACCCCUUGUGUGACAUUUCAUGAGUCCCUUUUGUUCCAGAAGUUUGAUCCUUAGGUGGUUAAAGGGACUCUCCAGUGCCAGGAAAACAAUCUGUUUUCCUGGCACUGCAGGUCCCCUCUCCCUCCCACCUCCCAUCCCCGAUUGCUGAAGGGGUGAAAACCCCUUCAGUCACUUACCAGAGGCAGCGACAUGUCCCACGUCGCUGCUUCUUCCUCCGCCACUACUCCUCCGAUUCAUCACGUCAACCGGCGGGGGAGACCUAAUG